rnacentral:rRNA from 1 species
UACGGAGGGUGCGAGCGUUGUCCGGAAUCAUUGGGCGUAAAGGGCGCGUAGGUGGCCAGGUCAGCUGUGAAAACUCGAGGCUCAACCUCGAGACGUCGGUUGAAACCGUACGGCUAGAGUCCGGAAGAGGAGAGUGGAAUUCCCGGUGUAGCGGUGAAAUGCGUAGAUAUCGGAAGGAACAUCAGUGGCGAAAGCGGCUUCCUGGACCAGCACCGACGUUCAGGCACGAAAGCGUGGGGAGCAAACAGG